rnacentral:lncRNA from 10 species
GGAGAGAAAAUUCCGAUGGCAGUUGAGAGCAACGGUGGAGCAGCGAAGCCCACAGGCAGCAGAGCACACAGACCUGGGAGGGGUGCAGAGGUGGCAUCAGCGCUAUGAGGGCGUGCAGGGGAAAGCUGAUGGGAGGGAAAGGGCAGGAGUUACGGCUGCCUCUGGUGCUGAACGGUGGACACUGUGAAUCAAGACCAAAUUCGUGACAAACUCACACAUUUUUAAAAGAAGCAAAUCAGCAACUGCCAAGUCCAAAGGAGCUGGCCAAAGAUAAGACCAAGGGUUGAACUUUCUUGACCACAAAAUCACAGUCCCAUGAGCUAUACUGAUAAUGACAAUGGUGAUAGCAACUUUGGAAGCCAGUUAAUAUUGGAAUAUGGCAAAGCCACUAUCAGCCUGUUUCCUGAGGGAACGCAUAGAGCCGAACUUUCUCCCUGCGCCUACUCCAACAAU